rnacentral:rRNA from 1 species
GACGAACGCUGGCGGCGUGCCUAAUACAUGCAAGUAGAACGCUGAAGGAGGAGCUUGCUUCUCUGGAUGAGUUGCGAACGGGUGAGUAACGCGUAGGUAACCUGCCUGGUAGCGGGGGAUAACUAUUGGAAACGAUAGCUAAUACCGCAUAAUAGUAGAUGUUGCAUGACAUUUGCUUAAAAGGUGCAAUUGCAUCACUACCAGAUGGACCUGCGUUGUAUUAGCUAGUUGGUGAGGUAACGGCUCACCAAGGCGACGAUACAUAGCCGACCUGAGAGGGUGAUCGGCCACACUGGGAAUGAGACACGGCCCAGACUCCUACGGGGGGCAGCAGGAGGGAAUCUUCGGCAAUGGACGGAAGUCUGACCGAGCAACGCCGCGUGAGUGAAGAAGGUUUUCGGAUCGUAAAGCUCUGUUGUAAGAGAAGAACGAGUGUGAGAGUGGAAAGUUCACACUGUGACGGUAUCUUACCAGAAAGGGACGGCUAACUACGUG